rnacentral:rRNA from 1 species
UACGUAGGGCGCAAGCGUUGUCCGGAAUUAUUGGGCGUAAAGAGCUCGUAGGCGGUUUGUCACGUCUGCUGUGAAAACCCAGGGCUCAACCCUGGACUUGCAGUGGAUACGGGCAGGCUAGAGUUCGGUAGGGGUGACUGGAAUUCCUGGUGUAGCGGUGAAAUGCGCAGAUAUCAGGAGGAACACCGGUGGCGAAGGCGGGUCACUGGGCCGAUACUGACGCUGAGGAGCGAAAGCGUGGGGAGCGAACAGG